CAUCCCAUCUCUUGCAACAGGAAUCAUUUCUAUAGUAAUCGACCCACUUCUUUGUUUCCCAAAGAAGCUUCAGACCAUACCCUGGUUGAUGACUUUUAUGCUCGUUGCCCUAGGGUGAAAACCACUUAUUUCGUCCUCGCUCUGUCCGAAAGGAUGGCGGUAGCUGAGUUUUCUUGGCUACUGUAUAGAGGAUUGUGAUGAUCUCUACCCCGAUUACCCAAGGUCUUGCCUUCGGGCGCUUGGGCGGGGUGGGCUUCGACGCAAAUCUGACAGGC
rnacentral:snoRNA from 1 species